ensembl:lncRNA
UAACUCUAUAACCCCCUGUCAAUUAACUCUAUAACCCCCUGUCAAUGAACUCUUUAACCCCCUGUCAAUUAACUCUUUAACCCCCUGUCAAUGAACUCUAUAACCCCCUGUCAAUUAACUCUAUAACCCCCUGUCAAUUAACUCUAUAACCCCCUGUCAAUUAACUCUAUAACCCCCUGUCAAUGAACUCUAUAACCCCCUGUCAAUGAGCUCUAUAACCCCCUGUCAAUUAACUCUAUAACCCCCUGUCAAUUAACUCUAUAACCCCCUGUCAAUUAACUCUAUAACCCCCUGUCAAUUAACUCUAUAACCCCCUGUCAAUGAGCUCUAUAACCCCCUGUCACUUUCACCCUUGAAGUGACUGUCCAUUGAAAACGUCAGUUUUUAAAAGUGGAUUUUCUGUUGCUAAGAUAAUGUUGACGAUUCAUGCAAUCAAAUAAUGUUGUCGACUCAUCAUAUAAUCAUAUAAUGUUGUUGACUCAUGCACAAAAAAAUCCCUAUUUAAACUUUAGAUUAAGAAAAAUGUGCUCUUACUAGUGUCAGUGUGGUUUUAAGUGAAACCUUCUCACUGCUCUUGCUACUAUCAAUGUUGUUUUGAGUGAAACCUGCACACUUCACUUGCUAGUAACACAUACUAGCAAGAGCAGUACUUGGGUUUCUUUUUGUUAUUUGCGUUAUCCUCUUAUUACCAUGCACCUGCAGUAAGUUGAUUUGGUGAAGUGCCUUUUUAAAUUGCUCAGUGAGGAUGUCAGCAAUGUAUUUUGAUUGGUUUCAUAAUUUUUUGGUUACUACAUGAUUCCAUGUGUGUUGUUACAUUGUUGUCAUAACUAUUAUUCUACAAUGUGGAAAAUUGUAAACAUUUUAGAAAUUCCCUUGAAUGUGUAGGCGUGUCCCAACCUUUGCCUGGUACUGUAUAUUGUGAUUCACCGGGUGGUUAUUGUAAAAUACCUAAAUACCACCUUAAUAAGAUUGUGUAGUUGCACAACAGAUUACUGCAAUUGGCUUUUGUAGGGAGACUUUGUAGGGCUCCAGUAGAGAAUUGGGAGCCAUUUUGGAUUGAACCCACAUCAAGGUGACGCCUGUAAAUCAUUAAGGCUACAUGGUAGCAUGCUUUUAUAUCAGUGUCAUGUGGACUGUGUCAUGUGGUCAUUAAGGCUACAUGGUAGCAUGCUUUUAUAUCAGUGUCAUAUGGACUGUGUCAUGUGGUCAUUAAGGCUACAUGGUGGCAUGCUUUCAUAUCAGUGUCAUGUGGUUAUUUUAUAUUGUUCUCAAUCCGUCUGUGAUAUGAUGUCAUCCUGUGGAAGCCCGUAUCCAGUCAGCAUUUGGGCCACAGUAGCAGAUCUCCUGUUUGUCAGUGUGUUAGCAUACCUAGGGAAGCGGCACAAAUGGCACCCUACACCCUAAAAAGUAGUGCACUACGUAUAGAAUAAUGUGCCAAAUUCAGACAAGGCAUCCUCAGACCCUAACCACAAUUAUUUCAGGAUUCUUACUACCCCUCUCCUGAUAAGUAGUUAGUGAACUGUAUCAACUCUUGAGCAGAAAACAAACAACAAUCAAAUAGUCCGUAGCGAAAUAGUCCCACCACUAAAACAAUCCAUAAUGUAAUAGUCCUUGUGUUUAAAUAGUCCCAUGGCAGAAUAGUCCCAGAAACUGAUUCGUAUCACUCAUGCUCUUGGGGCUAAAAUUUGAAUCAUGUAUACAGUGCUAAUACUGUUACACAGACAUGUAACAGGAGGAGCAAAAUAGUCCCCAAGCUGAUUAGUCCCAGUAGCAAAACCAUUUUAGUAGCAAUUGUGUAAACUGUCCUAAUGCCGCCACACAGGGGUAGUCCCGGGAGCCUUGUAUGAUAAGGAGAACUUAACCAAUGACACGUCUCGGGUAAGAACAUGGUGGCCACAGUCUCUAUGCACCUUCGCCAUCAGACACAAUCUGAAGACUUUUUAAAAUGACUGGAAUGGAAAUGACCCAAUUCCUGUUAGUUAGGCAGUCCCAGAUCUGAAGCAGCGGAAGAGACGUGAGAAGAGGCUGGGAAUUUUAAAAUCCCAAUUUAACACCCUUCCUUUCUCCAGCCUUCCAUUUCUGUUCUUCCUGCACUGCUUCUCAAGCAUUUUGACUAUUCAGGUCCAUUUUCUCUCCAUGAUCAGAAAGAAUAAUGAUCGUCCAUUCCUGACCCAUUAUAGCUGUGUGUCCCAAAUGACACUCUCCUUCUCAGUGGGGCCUCUGGGACUCUAGUUAAAGGUAGUGUUCUACGAAGGGAAGCGGGUGCCAUUUGGUAAGCAGGCUGAAGAUUUGUUGCUCUGACAGUGUUACAUUCUGUGUAACUCAUGAUCCACGCCGGUUCUUUUUCACACUGAAUUGGUGUUCUUUUGCCAUUUUUUCAAAUGAUCCAAGUGCUUUUUUUCCCUCAUGAAAACGUGUGGUUUCACACAUGUUGCGCUUUUAGUAUCUUCACAUCAAGUGUCCUUGGUCAGAAUAUGUUUAUGUUGUGGUUGGGACAUGGUUAGAGGAAGGUUAAUACCAUUCAUUAUUAUUGAACGUUGGCCUAUUUGUCAGUAGUCAAUAGAGUUUUGGAGAAAGAGCUGGAUGGGUGAAGUAGUUCAGUCUUUCAUUGGCAGAGUAAUAGUAUAGAUAGAUCAUUGUGGGCUGUUAUUUCUUUUUAUAUGUAGCUACAGUAACAACAUCAGUUUUUCCAAGUGUGUAUCAUGUUCAAUAUUGAUAGUGUCAAUCAAAAGGUCUGCAUUGCUUCCAUUCCAAUAUGGAUAAUGUGUGUGUAUUUCUCAUAUUGUGAAUUGUUUAAGUUGACUGUCUGAAGCCCUGGCUUGGAAUCUGCUGUGUUGUUCGUCUGGUGGAUUGAUGUUCUGUGAUGAGACUAAAGCCUGGAUGGCGUUCUGUUGUGCUAUCAUUGCCCCUGAUGCCACAAAUGUGUUGCAUGACAAGCACUGGCAGGAAGUGGAAUGAUAGCACAACACACUGGCUCCCAGGUUACAUAAACUCAACAGUUCUUAGUAAAUCCACCACCUUUCUUUUUUUCCACUACAGGAUAAAAAUCUGGUAAAUUCCUAGCAAAAUGUUGCCUCUCUAAUCUUGUCCUGUCUUGUAAACAUUGUGGAUGUGACGACUGCUGUGCAGCCUAUCGGCAGAAUUAAAUCUCCCUGGGGUUUAAAUGAGAGUUUUAAAAAGGAGGUGCUGUAUUGUCUGACAGUGAUUUUAAUAGAACCUGUCUCCUGCCCCCCCUCCCCUCCUCCGUCACCAUACUGUUGUUCUUUCCAUCUCCAUCUCCACGUUCAGCCAUCUUAAGAUCAGUGUCAAACCUGCUGCUUUUUAAAUCAUUUUCACCUGCUCCAAGGUGGUUUCUGAAAAUGCUGUUCAACAAAAAAAAUGCAUGAAUUAUUUAACAAGAGCUCUUUUGUAAAGCUGAGGCCAGUCUUACUGUAUUUCAUCUAAUGUUUUCCUGACAGUUUUACUGUAUUUUAGCUAAUGUUUUCCUGCCUGUUUUACUGUAUUUUAGCUAAUGUUUUCCUGCCAGUCUAACUGUAUUUUAUCUAACAUUGGCAUUGGAGGUUAUGUAAAGCCUGAUAGUGACAAGAUGACAGCACAAUUCAGGCCCUUCACGCUCUCAUCAUAAAUUAAGUAUUUACACUAAUUAUAGUUGGCAUGGCAACCCUAUCAAUCUUGUCCCAGUCUCUUCAGAUGCUUUGCAGACUGUUGCAGAAUGCCUUGAUGCUGAGGCCAGGCAAGAAUCACACUCUCAAUGCUUUUAAGGGCGUUUCGCAUUAUCAGAACAACGUGACUGAUUCCAUGGCCCUGGUUAUGCUUGGCGUUCAUCUUGCGUGGAUGAUAGAUGGGAUUUGGACACAGGAAACAUGCUGCUCCGAGGCAUAAGCAUGGCUUAGAAGUCCUUUGCUGCUUUUUAAUACUGCAGACUUACUUUUCUUUUCCGUUUGUCUUUUGAUAAGAACGCUUGAGUCUAAUUUACGGGAAUAAACAGUCAUCUGUCACGCAGUAGCAGAAGCUAAACACACACACACACACUCACAUUCACACACACGCUCACACAUACACACACACACAUGCAAAGUAGCAGUUUAUGAAACAGUGCCAAGUCUCACAUUUCUUCAUAGCUUUUAUCAGAAUAUUCUUCCACACAGAGGAAACUACAUCCCUCUUCAUCAAAGAUGAACAACAUCCCUCUUCGUCAGCCUCGUUGAGUUAAUUCUUUAUGUAGAUUCUGUGGAUGGUUAAUUCGUCAUGCAGAUUGUCUGGACCUUCCUGUCAUGUGAUUGGAUUAUACAGGGAAUAGGGAAAUGACACGGCUCAUGAUACAUUGGCUAAUCAGGAAAUAGCUGCAAGGUGGAGGAAGUGGCGCUGGGAGGGGCUACAGCAGUUUUUCUUUGGUGUGCGGGAGUGCUAUUACUGAGAGAUGCUGACUGACUGACUGACUGACUGUCUGACCGUCUGACUGUCUGAUUGGUUCACUGACCGAGUGGCUGGCUGGCUGGCUGUCUGACCGUCUGACUGUCUGAUUGGUUCACUGACCGAGUGGCUGGCUGGCUGGCUGUCCGGUGUUGUGUGACAGAUGGAGACUGGUUAACAACUAGCUAAUAAACCAUUGGAAGUGAAGGAGAGGGGGCGGCUGGAUGUUCAGUCUGCCUGACCUUGCCUGGAACAAAGCAAACGUCCAACACAGCCUGCAUCUGAGUCCCCAUGAACAGCUGUGAAUAGGUGCCAUUUGUGCCACAUACUGACUGGUUCUGUGAUGUGCAGCUCCUGUUUCUGCCGUCACGAUCUGGGCUGUAAAGCUCUGUUCAAGGGAACGUUACGAGUUUCAAGCUGAUUUACCACAUGUAUAGAAUUAUUUUGAAACCCCAUUCAGCCAAGCUUCAGAAUGAAAAGACCUUUGCAAGAUUUCAUGAAGCUUGAGGUUUCUUCCGCUUGCCAGAUCAACGUCCAAUGUGAAAAAAAAGCUACAGAGAAAGUGAGCUGUUAAAAAUGACAUCUAAUUGCCAAACGAUUGCAGUGGUAUUUAUGUCAAUGCUUCUCCCACUUUAUGUUUUGUGUUUACAGUUUUCUGUGUGGUCUGUUGGACGUUGCCUGGGCGAUUGAACCCAUGUCCUUCAUCCUCCAUAGCAGUUUUUUUACGUUUUGUCAUUGUGUGUCCAAAAUGACACCCUAAUUCCUAGUGUACUGACUGGGGAUUAGAGUGUUAUUUAAGAUACAGAUGUUGGUUUGUUUUUUUCCUCGUAAGAGACCAACUGUACAAAGCCCAUUUAUAUCACAUUCCCUUUUUGUAAACCAUCUUCAAGAGAUGUUUCUAAUAAAUUAUUCCUGGUGGAUAAUAACACUGAGCUUCCUGGUGUUUCCUUCUGUUUUGUGAUUUGAGUGAUUACCCCCCUCUGGGAUAAAUACAGC